GUGGCCCUACGGGGCGCAGCAGUGGGGAUUAUUGCACAAUGGGGAAAACCCUGAUGCAGCAACGCCGCGUGAGUGAUGACGGCCUUCGGGUUGUAAAGCGCUGUCUUCAGGGACGAUAAUGACGGUACCUGAGGAGGAAGCCACGGCUAACUACGUGCCAGCCGCCGCGGUAAUACGUAGGUGGCGAGCGUUGUCCGGAUUUACUGGGCGUAAAGGGAGCGAAGGCGGGCUUUUAAGUGAGAUGUGAAAUACU
rnacentral:rRNA from 1 species